GUUCUAGGCUUUAUUAUGUCGUCCUUUAUGUUUCCCUCCCAAAUUACACUGAAACAAUUCUAGCAUUCUGGUGGUCUGUUUGUGUUAAAGUAAUUUUUAUGAGAAUUUAGUAGAACUUGCCAUUAGAGUUUGAUGAAUUCAUAUGAUAUUUGGUAGUCAACAUUCAGCAGUGGCCUAAUCAAACAAAUUUUAUUAUCAUUGAGAGGCAACUUCUUUGUCUUCUCUGAGUAAAUGAGUUGUAUACCAUAGUGUGGUGAAAAUGUUAUAUUUGGAAGAGGUAGACAUUUAGGAAGCUAGUGGAUGGAUAGCAAGAACUGUUAUAGAGGCUGAGGUGCAGAUAAGGUUUGAUUGUAAAUGAGUUGUAUACCAUAGUGUGGUGAAAAUGUUAUAUUUGGAAGAGGUAGACAUUUAGGAAGCUAGUGGAUGGAUAGCAAGAACUGUUA
rnacentral:misc_RNA from 1 species